rnacentral:rRNA from 1 species
GACGAACGCUGGCGGCACGCCUAACACAUGCAAGUCGAACGGAAUUACAAGAGCUUGCUUUUUUAAGUUAGUGGCGGACGGGUGAGUAACACGUGAGUAACCUGCCCCUGAGUGGGGGAUAGCUUCUGGAAACUGAGGGUAAUACCACAUAAAAUAUACUUCUGGAAUGAUAGAUUUAUCAAGGUAAUUCGCUCAGAGAUGGACUCGCGUCUGAUUAGCUAGUUGGUGAGGUAGCGGCUCACCAAGUCGAGGAUCAGUAGCCGGACUGAGAGGUUGAACGGCCACAGUUGGACUAAGGCACAGCCCAGACUCCUACGGGAGGGAGGAGUAGAGAAUAUAGCACAAUGGAGGGAGCUCUGAUGCAGCGACGCCGGGUAGAGGAAGAAGUUGGUCGGAAUGUACACUCCUUUUAUCAGAGGCGAUAAUGACGGUACCUGAAGAAAAAGCACCGGCUAACUACGUG